rnacentral:lncRNA from 12 species
GGAGCAGGAGCCAAGAGCCCCGGCAGGCCUUUGAAGUGAAUUUGGGAGAGGCUGUAAGGAGAAUAUUUGACUCAGCCCCGCAAAAAUCAGCCCACAGUGUUUCCAUCUUCCAGCAUGCUACAACCUGCAUCUGUGUCCGUGGUCUUCGGCAAUAAAGGUAAAAAAAAAAGAUACAAAAUCACUUAGCAGAGUUACCUGUAGAGCUUUAGUCACUUGAAUCAUAAAGAAGAAGAAAGGGUGAAGCAUUUACUUGUG